UUUAGGCGAAGUCAUUGAUUCCAUACUUCCAAGAAAAACUUCUAGUUAGUUUUAUUAGUGCCCGUACCCCAAACCGACACAGGUGGACAAGUAGAGAAUACUAAGGCGAGCGAGAGAACUCUGGUUAAGGAACUCGGCAAAAUAGUUCCGUAACUUCGGGAGAAGGAACGCCCAAGUAAAGUGAUUAAUUAACUUUAUAAGCUUGAAAGGGCCGCAGUGAUCAGACUCAAGCGACUGUUUAUCAAAAACACAGGAGGAUGCAAAGUUCUAAUACAACGUAUAUCCUCUGACACCUGCCCGGUGCUGGAAGGUUAAGUGGAGAGGUUAGCUUCGGCGAAGCUUUGAAAUUAAGCCCCAGUAAACGGCGGCCGUAACUAUAACGGUCCUAAGGUAGCGAAAUUCCUUGUCGGGUAAGUUCCGACCUGCACGAAUGGUGUAACGAUUUGAGUACUGUCUCAACCAGAGACUCGGCGAAAUUGCAAUGUGAGUAAAGAUGCUCACUAUGCGCGACAGGACGGAAAGACCCCGGAACCUUUACUGCAACUUGAUAUUGAAUGUUGGUAUGCAGUAUGCAGGAUAAGUGGGAGACUUUGAAACAGUGGCGCUAGUCAUUGUGGAGUCAUCCUUGAGAUACCACUUUCUUCAUAUUGACCUUCUAACCUAGAUCCGUUAUCCGGAUCAGGGACAUUGUCUGGUAGGCAGUUUCACUGGGGCGGUGGCCUCCGAAAAAGUAACGGAGGCGCUCUAAGGUCACCUCAGCGUGGACGGCAAUCACGCAUUGAGUGUAAGUGCAAAAGGUGGCUUGACUGUGACACAAACAAGUGAAGCAGGUACGAAAGUAGGAACUAGUGAUCCCAUGGUUGCAUGUGGGUGCGCCAUGGCUCAUCGGCUAAAAGGUACUCCGGGGAUAACAGGCUUAUACCCCCCAAGAGUCCAUAUCGACGGGGGUGUUUGGCACCUCGAUGUCGGCUCUUCUCAUCCUGGGGCUGGAGCAGGUCCCAAGGGUUAGGCUGUUCGCCUAUUAAAGAGGAACGCGAGCUGGGUUCAGAACGUCGUGAGACAGUUCGGUCCCUAUCCGUCGCGCACGUAAGAAAUUUGAAGAAAGUUGUCCCUAGUACGAGAGGACCGGGAUGAACGAUCCGCUGGUGUGCCAGUUGUUCUGCCAAGAGCACGGCUGGUUGGCUACGAUCGGACAGGAUAAGCACUGAAAGCAUCUAAGUGCGAAGCCCCUUCUAAGAUAAGAUUUCUCAUCGGGUUAACCGAUUAAGACUCCUUAUAGAACAUGAGGUUGAUAGGUCAGAAGUGUAAGUACAGUAAUGUAUGUAGCUGACUGAUACUAAUAAGUCGAGGGCUUGAA
rnacentral:rRNA from 1 species